GUGCCAGCAGCCGCGGUAAUACAGAGGGUGCAAGCGUUAAUCGGAAUUACUGGGCGUAAAGCGCGCGUAGGUGGCUAAGUAAGAUGGGUGUGAAAUCCCCGGGCUCAACCUGGGAACUGCAUCCAUAACUGCUUGGCUAGAGUACGGUAGAGGGUAGUGGAAUUUCCUGUGUAGCGGUGAAAUGCGUAGAUAUAGGAAGGAACACCAGUGGCGAAGGCGACUACCUGGACUGAUACUGACACUGAGGUGCGAAAGCGUGGGGAGCAAAACAGGAUUAGAUACCCUGGUAGUCCACGCCGUAAACGAUGUCAACUAGCCGUUGGGAACCUUGAGUUCUUAAUGGCGCAGCUAACGCACUAAAUUUGACCGCCUGGCGAGUACGGUCGCCAGAUUAGAACUCACAUGAAUUGACGG
rnacentral:rRNA from 1 species